rnacentral:rRNA from 1 species
UAGGGAAUCUUCGGCAAUGGACGAAAGUCUGACCGAGCAACGCCGCGUGAGUGAAGAAGGUUUUCGGAUCGUAAAACUCUGUUGUUAGAGAAGAACAAGGACGUUAGUAACUGAACGUCCCCUGACGGUAUCUAACCAGAAAGCCACGGCUAACUACGUGCCAGCAGCCGCGGUAAUACGUAGGUGGCAAGCGUUGUCCGGAUUUAUUGGGCGUAAAGCGAGCGCAGGCGGUUUCUUAAGUCUGAUGUUAAAGCCCCCGGCUCAACCGGGGAGGGUCAUUGGAGACUGGGAGACUUGAGUGCAGAAGAGGGGGGUGGAAUUCCAUGUGUAGCGGUGAAAUACGUAGAUAUUUGGAGGAACAGCAGUGGCGAAGGCGGCUCUCUGGUCUGUAACUGACGCUGAGGCUCGAAAGCGUGGGGAGCAAACAGG